rnacentral:rRNA from 1 species
AAUCAUCGGGGACCAUCCCGAAAGGCUAAACACUACUCUGUGACCGAUAGCGAACCAGUACCGUGAGGGAAAGGUGAAAAGAACCCCGGGAGGGGAGUGAAAGAGAACCUGAAACCGCAUGCCCACAAGAAGUCAGAGCCCGUCAAAGGGUGAUGGCGUGCCUUUUGUAGAAUGAGCCGGCGAGUCACGAUCAGCAGGCGAGGUUAAGCAGGAGAUGCGGAGCCGCAGCGAAAGCGAGUCUUAACAGGGCGGAAUAGUCUGAGGUCGUGGACCCGAAACCGGGUGAUCUAGCCAUGAGCAGGUUGAAGUCGGGGUAAGACCCGAUGGAGGACCGAACCGACCCCCGUUGAAACGUUGGCGGAUGACUUGUGGCUAGGGGUGAAAUUCCAAUCGAACCCGGAGAUAG